AGAACAUCUGGAAUGAUCUUUCCAAACGUUACCAGGCAUUCCUGGAGGAAGCCACUGUGUUAGAUCCCAGAUUUAAAUCUAAAAUGGACAGGGAUGAAAUCUGGGAGAGGGUCAGGGCAUCAGCAGUGGCACUGGCAUCAAACACAGAGGCAGUUGAGAAGCUGUCAGAGCCAAGAGAGACAAAGAAGAAGAGAAUGGAGAAAAAGAGGAGGACUACACGCCACCUGUAAAGCAGAAAAAGGACAGCCCUAGAGGAACUUUUCGAAGAAGAGGACAGCAAGCUGCUUUCCACGCAGCAGCAGCCCCCUGUCUCCACAGCCCAGAGAGUGGAUCAAGAAAUCCAGCUUUAUAGAAGCCUUCCUCCCAUUCCAACCAAAGACAGUGCCAGUUUCUGGUGGUGGAAGAAGAGUGACACAUUGCCAAUGUUGUCAACUCUAGCUGAGAAGUAUCUCUGUGUCCAAGCGUCCUCCACCCCUUCUGAAAGGGUGUUCUCCACUGCUGGAGACACCCUUAGUCCAGAAAGAUCUCGUAUCCUUCCUGAGAGGGCAAACAUGAUCAUUUUUCUGCACAAAAAUUGUUAAUUUGCCAAUUUUUAAUUUGUUAAUUGUUAAUUUAUUUUAGUAAAGUUGAUAGUUGUGGUCUUUACAGAAGACUUUGUAUUUUGGAUGUCAGUUGAAUUUUGUUUCAGAUUGAAUCCAAAUGAGCACUGUUAAUAUUCCAAAAGGCACAAGCUCAUCCUUGACUGUUUUCAGUCUGUGUUUUUAGUUUUUAUGGCACAUAAAUGGCCAGUUUUAUUUAUUUUUUUGUCUGGACCAAUGAAUGUGAAAAUGAGCAAUUUCCUAAUCCUAAGGCAAUCUUCUUGAAAAUAUUUCAAAGCACACACUAGAAUGCCAUGACACACUGGUUGAGAAACACUGUAGGCUGUGGUUCCCUGAAUUUUACUUUGAGAAGUAGCUCACCUACUUUAAGGUUUGUUCUGAGGUUGCUACACAUAAUUUGUGUAUACUACUCUGUGCUUCUGAUCAGAUAUUAAA